GGGGAUUUAGCUCAGUGGUAGAGCGCUUACCUAGGAAGUGGAGGCCCUGGGUUCGGUCCCCAGCUCCG
rnacentral:tRNA from 1 species